rnacentral:ncRNA from 1 species
CUGUGGUUUGUGACUUAACAAGAGUGAAACGGGAAAUCGGUGCGCUUAACCAUAGAUUGGUUGAUUAGCAAUGCCGAUACUGCCCCCGCAACGGUAAAUAAGAAUGUUUGGCUGUAUGACCACUGUGCAAUAAGGCAUGGGAAGGUGGCUAAACAGGGUGACUAUUUAACAGCUAGUUCCUCACUUAUAAGUCCGGAGACCGGCCUAUCG